rnacentral:lncRNA from 1 species
CUGGGGACCUUCAUCUUGACCCCCUAAAGCUGAGAUUAUGAAUGAGCUUCCUCACAAACCUGAUAUUCAUAUGCAUGUUGGGGACCUGAGCUCCAGUUCUCAUGCUUGAAGGCACUUUACCCACUGGGCCAUUUCCCCAGCCACUCCCCAGUUAUCUCAGUGCCUGUGAUGAAACCUUCAAUAGUGAGCAUCAUUGCUCUCCCACCCCACCCUCACUCCCUGGCUGUCAUUCAAGUGUCUCCUGUGACUCCUGGUAACUGCUCUGGGUUUGUGGACCACACAGUCUCCAUCUCAACCAGGUAGACUGAGUCUAAAGGAUUGGUUAUAGCUGCAUGCCAAGAAACCUGCAGUGCCCAAAUGAGGUGGCAGCUGUAUUGACUCCAUGAGAAGUGGCCCACACACAACUGCUGAUAGCCCCGUUUUCUCAUUGCCUUUCUCUUUUCAGUGUAAGGAGAAACUGAGGGAGCCACUUCCCCCAAGUAUGCACUGGAGCUGCUCACAGUCUAUGCCUGGGAACAUGGGAGCCGACGCCUUGAGUUCAACACAGCCCAGGGAUUCCGGACAGUCUUGGAACUGGUCACCAACUACAGGAAUCUUUGAGUCUACUGGAGAGUGUAUUAUGACUUGCCAGACCGGGAGGUCUCCAAAUACUUGCUCAGACAACUUAGAAAAGACAGACCUGUGAUCCUGGACCCAGCUGACCCAACAAGGAACGUGGCUGGUGGGAACUCAUUGGGCUGGUGGCUGCUGGCUGGAGAGGCAACAACCUAGCUGGAGUACCCAUGUGUUAAGGAUUGUGAAAUGUCCCCAUUGCGCCCCUGGCCUGUGUCAGUGAGUCUUUGUCCUCAUCCUGUCCCCUUGCACACAGCUUUGAUCACUCCAUUUGUCUGGAGAAUAUUCUCACAAAGAUGGGGAGGCCAGCUGCUUCCCUGAUUUACAGCCAUCUUGUCGACAUUCAGAGAUUUCAUAGGCUGGGAAGAUGGCACAGUGGGUAAAGUGCGUGCCGCCAACACUAGUGACCUGGGCUUGAUCCCUAGAAUCCUGUGGUAGAAGGAGAGACCAACUCCUCCAGUUUUCCUCUGACCUUCACCUCUGUGCUGUUACAAAGCUGACAUGAACUCACACACACACACACAACACUAACACACACAUACACAGUUGCACACUCACACAUGUUGUCACUCACACAAACUCUAACUCACUCAUUCACACACUCAUACAUCCUCAUACAGACUCACUUUCAAACUCACACACUUACAAUAUACUCACAGUCACACACACACACACACACACACACACACACACACACACACACACGUGCACCCACACUCUGAAACACACACAGAGAUAGAGCUGAAGCCACUGGCUCAGCGACACUCAGCUAAGGAGAUCUUGGUCUGGGAUUCCCAUGGACUCUGAAGCCAGUGCUCAGGUCCAGGCAGCAGCAUCUCAUCAUCAUGUGGCCAAUGGAACUUGGGGUGUUGUGUCACAUCCAAAGAGGUGCGGAGGGACCUGCAUUUAAACCUUUCCUUUGCUGGGCAGGGGUCUUUUUAUGUUAGGGAACCGAUGAUGCCGUGUGUGGCCUCAGGAUGGAGGUUAGCAUGGGAGCAGGGAUGUUGGGACCAAACACCAAAUAUCAGAAAUGCAAGAAGGACAUGAGAGGGGACACAGGACAGGCAGCUGGGACUAUAGUGGAAUUAGGGCUGUCCUGCAGCAGACAGGUGUCUAGACCCUCUCUUCCACUUGGGAGAUCUGUUACUAAAUGUGAGAAACUCACAUGGGGCUGCAUGUACCCUCAGUAGGCUAAACCAUGAAGAUGUCCUGAUGGCCGUCUUCCCAACAUGGGGAUGUGAUGUCCCUUCUUCUGAGGGGCUCCAUGUGGCCAGUCAUGGUGCCCACCCUCAGGGCUGAUCCCAUUCCCAGUAGGAAUGAGGACUCCUGGCAUGAUUGUGUUUUGUGUUACAGGCAGAGUCUGAAGAGCCAUAGGAAUGCGUCCUCCUGUGAGCACAGCAGCACCUGCAAAGGAGGCUCUGGAGUCAGGGGAUGUGCUCCUCUGUGCAGGCCUUGACCAGAGAGGGCCGGGUGCUGCCCAAAACCCCAGUGAGAGAGUGUCCAACCUGGGGUCAGGCUCCAGGCUCCUGACCCCUGUCUGCCCACCCUUCCAUCCUACUCCAUCACAGACAGCUCUCCUCACUGUCUGCUUCAAACACCUGAUCCUCUGAUAGUGUUCUCAGGGGACAAGAGAUUCAGAAGGGAAGGAAGAACUCAAGCUUGACUUCCACCUGUGUAUCUCUUGGAGUGUUCUGUCCAAUGUCUG